AUGCACGAUGUGGAUGCCUUGGUACCUAUUUACAGGACGUUUGACUACGAAAAGCCAUUCACAAUUUAUUGAAUGGAUCUCCUAAGGGAAACCCAUAAGGUUUAAAAUCUGCCACAGGAAACCUCCGAGAGCAGUUUUAUGAAAAUCAACCGAGAAACCGGAAGUAGCGGUGAGCGAAACCGGCAUCUGUAGGCCUUCGUAUUUAUAGAUCGUGGUAUCUAUUCAAUAAACUGUCCCCGAAACCGUGUUUUAUUCUUGAAAGAAAAUAAAACCCUAUAAUGGUUGGAAAACGGUUGCCAAAGAAGGUGAAAGCCCCGUAGGGAAAUUAUAGACAGACUUUUUUCUAACACUUUUUGAUAGAAAAUAUAUAAGGAAAAAUUCCAUAGGAAUUUGUAAAGGGGGAACCACCCUCCAAACUAGGAAAGAUAGGUAACCGAUAGUGAACCAGUACCGUGAGGGAAAGGUGAAAAGAACAACCUCUGGUUGUAGUGAAAUAGAACUGAAACCUCGUGCAAAAAUCCACUUGGAUGCUUUUUAGAGUUCCAAGGUGCCUUUUGCAACAUGAUCAUGCGAGCUUUUUGGAGCAGCUGCUUAACUCUGUAGAGGUAGGCCUGUUUAAACAAAAAUAUAUAAAGAUGAUACAGAUUGUUU
rnacentral:rRNA from 1 species